rnacentral:lncRNA from 1 species
CGACGAGCAGGUUUGUUUUAAAUGUCACGAAAAUCGCCGGAAAUAGGGCAAGGAGUAUCAUAGAAACAUAUUCCGGUGGUAUUUUAUUACCAAGAGAUGUGCCGUGUGAACUUCGUCCCCACGCUGUACUCAACAAUGUGCUCAAAACAUUCCAAAAGCGAUUAUUAUCCAGCCUCUUAUACAAUACAAUCAAGUCUUGGACUUUCAGUAAAACGAAGAAAUCUUCUUCCUACAGCACUGCCAGCGAUACAAAAGCACGAGCUGUUAAAACCACGAACUUGUGGUAAAACCACGACCGUGGGUAAAACCAACUGACUUCUGGUAAAAAGCUGGAACAAAGAUCAAGCACCAAGUAUACAACAUCGACAUUUCUACAUCGUCUGGUCUACAAGUAACAUCGUGACACAGUCACAAACACACCAUCGUUAGUAUCCUUAUCCAUCACAAUGCUAAAAACAACUGACGAUGUGAGUGCUCGAAACGGUAUUUUAAAAAAAAAAUUAAAAGGGCGACAAACGCAUGAGGGAACACGUGCGAGUAAGUAGUAUAUUUUGCAUGCAGCUAAAUAAGGAAGAAAUAGGUUUUUACCUCGAUAAACAUGAAUCAAAUUUUUAUUAUGCUCUAUUUUUAAUGGUAAAAUGUCAUCUUCAACAGUCAGAUGUAACUAUAAAAUAAAAAUGCAAUGAUGGAAAAUAACUAUCACAUAGAAACAAUUACAGGAGUUUAUCUCAAACAAAGUGCACGUUUGAAAUGUGUUUAUAUUUUAUCAACAAUAAUACACAUCGAAAAAUUAUCUCAAAUACGCCGGCUUCUUGACCACGACAACCUGAGCGAUGUUUCGUUAUUUGAUUGGAGGACAUGAAUACAUUUGGUGAACUUAGCCACACGACCUCUUACAAAUACUAUUCACGCACAUCAGAACUCUCCAGCAUCGGACAGUAGUUUCCUUCUGCUUUCCUAGUCGCAGGUGAGAAGGCCGAUGUCUGAAGACUUAUUUCUCGAAAAUUAAACAUAAUUGUGUACUCAUAAUCAUGCUCAAAUUAUUAUUUUAUGAUAAACUUAACCGAUCAUAACGAAAAGAUUUUGCGCUCGUGUUUGUCUUCUCAGACGGAAACAAUUAUAACUAAAAGAAAGAACAACAGAAUGGACGUGUCAUGUUUUGUAUCAGUGCAUCAGCAGUCUCGACUUUAGACUGAUUCCUUCUUCAUCAAUCGCUCCAGAAAGUUUUGCGCUGUCACAGCAGGUCUGAUAUGACUAAUAUUGUACAUCUCCAGAAAACUAAUCUUACAAUGACCGUCAAGACGAUGCUGUAACAAGAGUUGUGUGGAUGGAACGAACACAGAUGAUGGAGGUAUAUUUUCGUCUGCGGAAGAUGGGCCCCAGCACCAAACAUUGUGAUUUGAGCCUCCAUGCAAACUUCAUAAUAAAUUUCAGCUACUUUUCGAAGCAGAACUUGAUUGACUUAUCGAAGAUCCCAUGCAAUGGCAAGGCUAUGCAUACUGUUGGUAUUCAUCUUCUUAACAUGAGUAGCUACAUCACGAAGGCACACCAUAAUCUCUUUGUUUAAAAAGACAAGGCAUCCAUUAUUAGUGUUAUGUCUCUGUGCUUUUACUUUUCGUAAAGCUUUGAGCCUGUC